AGAGUUUGAUCCUGGCUCAGGACGAACGCUGGCGGCGCGCUUAACACAUGCAAGUCGAGCGAGAACCAGGCCUUCGGGCCUGGGGAAAGCGGCGAACGGGUGAGUAACACGUGGGUAACCCACCCUUGGUACCGGGAUAGCCCGGGGAAACCCGGAUUAAUACCGGAUGGCCCAACAGCUCUUCGGGGCGGUUGGAAAAGGUAGCUUCGGCCUCCGACCAAGGACGGGCCCGCGGCGGAUUAGCUUGUUGGUGGGGUAACGGCCCACCAAGGCGACGAUCCGUAGCUGGUCUGAGAGGACGAUCAGCCACACUGGGACUGAGACACGGCCCAGACUCCUACGGGAGGCAGCAGUGGGGAAUCUUGCGCAAUGGGCGAAAGCCUGACGCAGCGACGCCGCGUGGGGGAAGAAGGCUUUCGGGUUGUAAACCCCUUUCAGGAGGGACGAAGCCACUCGGGUGAAUAGCCCAGAGGGUGACGGUACCUCCAGAAGAAGCCCCGGCUAACUACGUGCCAGCAGCCGCGGUAAUAC
rnacentral:rRNA from 1 species